UUGGUAAUAGCUCGACAUCAGGAAUAGG
rnacentral:sRNA from 1 species